CCCCGCCCGCCCGCGGCCGUGCAGCCAAUCGGCGCCGCCGCCGCGGCCCACGUGACCUUUGUUGACUUACGUCAGUCAUUGCGCUCCACCGCCGCUGCGCCCCGGUUUGGUUGGCCCUCGCCGCCCGCCUCCCCCGCCCGCCUCACGCCAUUGGCCUGUAAGUGAUAAGGGAGGUGGGGUUUCGGAGACCUGCCGUUUGUGAUAGGUCAAGCGGGCCGUCAGUCAGACGAGCUUUUCGAUUAGCGAGCACUAGCAGGUUGGGAUGCGCCUUUAAAAGCGAACGGCGGGGGAGGGAGGGGAGAUGUCGGGAGUGGCGGGCGCUGGGGUGGGAAGAGGAGGAACGAAGGAGGGCUGCGCUCACGGGUGGAGUUGCGUAACGGGGGCUCCGGGCUGGAGGAGUGGACGCCGCUGAGGAAGGCGCCAUGUCCCACCGGCGGGGGGCAGUAGGCACGCUCGCACCCCCAGGCCCGUCCCGCCUCGGGCGUGGCGCUGUUGGCACGAGCGGAAAAUAAAUGCUUCCCGGAGCGGGAACGGGGCUGAAUGGGGCUGCGAGGGAAAUGCUUGGUCGGCGGGCAACGGUCGCACGGAAGGGCGGGGGCCGCCCCUGCCGUUGGUUUCGCCCACACCCCCCCGCCUCCCCCGGGAGCCCGUGACAGGUGGAGCGGGCCCCGCCGGUGCGCGCCGCCUCGCGGCUGUCACGUGGCGCGGGCUGCCGCGCGCGCUUCGCGCGAGACGCACGGCAAGUCUCGCGAUGUCUCGAGAGCCUCGGGGCGUGAGGGCGGGGAGGGCCCGGUCCGGCCCCGGCCGCCGCGGCGGGAAAAGCGCGAUGGACGGAAAUUGCGACAGCGGGCAUUUCGGGCUUCUGGGCACGCUUCGCCUGUGCAUCCUCACGUGUUUUCUGGUCCUGAUGGUGCAGAGUCACUGGCAGGAAUGGAGACCUGGUCAAGACAAAGUCUUAAAUAAUGCAAAUGAAGACUCAGAGUAGUGUGUCCUUGCUGCUCUUAAAAGCAGACUCUUGUAAUGUAGCUUUGCUUUCUGAUGCAAAUGCAGGAAGAGCAGAAAAAAGCAUCUGGGUUUGAUGGUGUUGCAUUUCUUCAUAAAAGAGUCAGCAGCCAGUUUGUUGAGAGUAUUGGUAUAAGAGACAGGCAUUUGUGUUUGAAGGACUUGAAAGUUUGAUAUCCAGAUAAAACCCAAGUUAUUUUUGGUGCUGGGAAUGGGCCAUAGUCUGUUAAUAGUGGAAACACUAUGAUCAAACAUCUGUGUUCAUCUGUAUUGUCCAUGGCUUCUCUGUCAUGGAUUUUCUCAGCAGAGUUUCCUCAGGUGCCAAAAUCAGUGCCAAGACCCUGACUCGUUGGGAAUGUGCCAUAAAUAUGGGGUUUCAGUGCAGGUUGUUUCUCAGUCUUGGCUCUCAAGUGUAAAGUUUCCACUUUGCAGCAUCCUGAGUAUAAAUCAGCAGAAAGGAGAGUAGACAAAACCAUUUCUCAGUGGAAGAAAGGGAUUGCUGAAUAACAGAGCAAAUCAGGAGACUGUAGAAGCAGAGUCCUUGUCCAGCUGAAACUUGUGUGCACCUGAAGUCACAACCCCUGAGUUACCUCUCUAGUACUGUCAGUGCCACUCUCAACCCUCUGUACUCUGCCUGAAUUGCUGGGAUUGAAUUUCCAGAUGCCCUUAUUUAUUUGUGUGUUUGUUUAUUUAUUUAUUUGCUGUCACUUCCAAGUCAGGUAGGAAAUCUGAAGGAGCAGUAGAUCAGUCCCUGUUGGAUACAAUUGGAAUCUCAUGGUCUUCUGUAGUCCAGGCAUACUUUAUAGUCACCUGCAGCAAGAUCCAUCCCUGGAAAAACUGGUGUUUCAAGCUGGGUGUAUCAGUUCCAAUUGGUUUGGUUUUCAUUCCUGCUUUUGGAAGUUCUGGGCAGCUGCCAGCCUUGACCAGCUGAGCAAAUGAGGGCAGAGGUCAUCUCCUUACCCAAGAGUCUGAAGAAGCUCAGGAGCCACAUGUGAUCUCUGCUGAUGCUGCUGUUUGAGAAAAGAUUUUGAGGUGUGGAGUCAACAUUAUGCUCCCAAUAGCUCAGGAGGCAUCUUACUAUGAGGCAAAUCCUUUUGAGCAGAGGAGGCAAAAUGUGAUGAGACAACCUUGGGUUCAUGUGACAGUGUGAAUGUAUUGAAAGACAGCAAAGGAAAAAGCAGACUGACCAACGGAACCCACAGGAUGCCAUUUUGUGUCCUACAGAACAUAAAUCUAAUACUUACAUUGUUGCCAUCUUGGAAAAUUUUAGUCAACCUGCCUGCUAUAUGUGGCUCUUUGGCAUAUGAGGGAAAGCAGCAUAAUCUAGUAAAAUGUGCCAGUGGGUGAGUUAGGGAGAAAGCAGUUUCAUUCACACUUCUCUUUUUCUGCAUUUGUUUUCCUUACUGUUGUUUUCUUUUACUCCAUGGUAAAAGAAGAAAAGCUUAAAUUACUAAACUAUUUUCUUGAUAUUUGGAAAAAAAAUCCUGUUUGCUUCCUUUUUGUACUCUAGCAGUGGCUUUUCUAUUGUCCUGGAGUUUGGAGUAAAAUUACCUGCAAUUUACAUGUUCUUUGUACUACCCACAUUAAAGUUCUAAUGGGUGUCGUGUGAUGAUCUGUGUUUUGACAGCAUAUGGUGGUCAAGAAAGUGGGAAAGCUGAUCUAAACCCCAAGGUUUUGGGUUGUUUUUAGUUAUUUUUUUCUUAAAAAAAAAAAGGCAAAUGCUUUUGCUGGCAAUAAGGAAAACCAAUAAAUACAUGGGUAGGAGAAUUAUUAUUGAAAAUAGGAAAAAAGUCACUACACUGCUGUUUAUCACUAUGUUGAAGAAAUAAUUGCUUUUUAAUCUCAGACUUUCCUAGCUUUGGGUGGUAAGGGGAGUGAACUAGUCUAGGAAAUAGGUUAUUAUAAAGAAAAAAAUACAGUUUUUUAAAUGAAAACGUAAAAAAUUAAAUGCUUUGGUUAUAGACCUUAGUUAUUAUUGUUCUGUUUUGCUUGAAUCAUGUGGCCAUUUUUGUCCAUUGCCCGCUCUCUCCUUGGUUAGCAUGAGUUUAAAACCUGUAUUGUCUUUGAAAGGCUUAAUGCUGGAAUUCAUCUGGGGGUUAAGUGGUAAGUCAUGGUCAUAAGAAGUUCACACAGUCACCAGGUAAGCAGUAAUGUCCAUCCCUGUGCAGCAACAUGUCAGCAAUUCAGUCCAAGCAUGAAAACCAUGAAUUUGUGUCAUCAGCUUAACUGCAUUCUGGGCUGUUUGACAUUCAGAAAGCAGGGCAUUUUGGGGUGUUCUGUAGAUUUGCUGUGUAAGAGGGACCAGUUCUCUGCAUGCCAGCAUGAACACAGCGACUUCUUUGCUGAAGUUCUACCAGUAAAAGAAACAACUCGUAGAAGAUCUGUAUACUAUUUUUGCAGUAUAUAGAUCUAUGUUACACUAACUGAUGGUUUCUGCUGACUUGGAGAAAUAAAUAAUGUCAAAAAUUAUCCUUGUCCAGGAGGUGGUUCCUUUAUAAUGCAACUGAUGGUAGUUUUUUAGAUCUUUUUUUCAAUUGUGCCUGUACCUCCCACCUCCAGCACUUUUGGUUGUUUCUUUGGUGUGCAUUCCAAAUCUGGAAAUGCUUUCAUUUAUGGUAAUAUUUGUAGGUGAAUGUCUGUCUUCCCCCUAGGAACCAGAUGUGGCAGUUUAUGACUCGCCACCUUCCAAAGAAAUCACUUUGACAGGAGGUGAUCCUAAACAAGGAUCUCUGUUCUUCCAGAACAGUGCAGAGAAACUGAAAUUUCUUACAUUUGUUUCCAUGCAGGAAUUUGAGAAGCUGAUAAUAAAAUACAGUGUCUAUAUUAACUUGUCUUCAGAUUGACAGUUGUAGUUUAACAGAAUUUGGCAAAUGCUGUAAAGAAGAAAAAAAUCCCAUCUUUUUGUUUCUAUGGUGGUUUUAUAUGUAUUGACUUAAUAUUAGUUGCUGGGCUGAUACCUGUGUAGCCUACUGGUUCUGUGGCUUGGAAGUAAAAAAUAAAUUACAUUUCUAAGCCAG